GCUCAGGAGGCCUAGUGGCUAGAGCAUCCGCCUCGGAUGCGGAAGAUCGCGGGUUCUAACCCGGGCCGAGUCA